ensembl:lncRNA
UUUUUUCACUUUUUAUUUUGAAAUAAUUUUAGACACAAAAGUGAAAGAAUAAUACAAAGAACUGUCAAGUUCUUUCACCCAAGGUCCCCAGUUCCUAACAUUCUGACACUUUGGCUUUAUCAUUACUUCUGUAUUUAUCUUUACCAUCUUUCUCUCUCUCUCUCUCUCUAUCCAUCAUCUAUCAUCCACCUUCCUGAAACAACUGAAAGUUGCAGACAUGGUGCUCCAGCCCCACGUGAAGUGUCAAUGUGAAUUUUCUAGAAGACAGGACAUUCUCCUAUGGAAUAACCAUACUUUGGCCAUCAAAAGCGGGAAGUGGACAUUUAUGCAGUAUGACCAUGUAAUCCAUUCACUCAUUUUUCUUUUAUGCACUCCUCAAUUUUGUUUCUUCUGUUUCUGGUUCCCAUCCAGGAGAAUGCGUCACAUUCACUUUUGAUGUCUCUUCCCUCUUCUCCAAUCUGAAACGAUUCUUCAAUCUGCCUUUGUCUUUCAUGACCGCCAUGUUUUUGAAGAUGUCAUACCGGGUUUUUUGCAGAAUCUCCCUCAACUUGGGUUUGUAUGAUGUUGCCUUAUGAUUAGUACUACUUGCAUUUUGCCACAAAUAUCAUGGGAGUGUGGCUGUGUUUGUCUCCAUACGUCACAUCAAAGCAGCUACAAUGUCAGUCUGUCCCAUUCUUGGCAGUGCUUAUUUUGAUCUCCGAUCAGAGUCAAGCAAGUGUGUUUAAAAUAAUAAACCUGAGGUUAAAUGUACCAUCCCAACCAUGAGAGCUGCCUUUGCUCCAGCUCUGCACAAGAAGAUGAAAAAAGAAUACAGAAUGAAGAGAAACGCACAAAGACAUAGAGUACUGAGGACAAUCAGAUUUUCUCAGUUUAUUAAUUUCCUUGAUUUUGAAUGAGAAGGAAAACAUGGUUUUCCUUUUUCUCUCGUCUCCCAGCAAAGGGCAUGCUAUGGGUGGCACAUGCAGGAAGUAUCAAGUUUGCUGUUAAACAGAUUAUAAAACAUGUUUAUGCAACAUCAAACCGUGAGAUUAUUCUAGGUCAGGUUUCUAUUGCUUACUCAGUCAUCUAUUUGCACGAAUCGAUUUUAACCUCCAGAGUUAUCCAGCGUAAUGCAAACAUUAACAGUGUUUCAGCUGCAAAUGGGUCAGAAACGCCAACUUGGGGCCUGGAAAUUCUAACUGCGGAGCAGCUGUUUCAAAGGUAAGUGGCACAUGGUGGAAACAAGGCAGAUGGCCUUCGAAAGAACACCCAGAAUCUCAAGGGGGUGGGGCUGGUUCUGGAAUCCUUAUAAAGCAGGGGCUAGGAGACGCAAUCUGGUUAAAGGAGGGAUGUCGGGGGGUUGUCUUCAAGGUAUAAGGGUGCUUCCUAGGCAGCACACUUUUUCAAAACUUAAAUUAUAGACAACCGAUCAACGAAGUGUAUAAUUCUUUUACACCCGCCUCACAUACUACUGAGACAAUGUCCAUUAUACAUAUCAAAGAACAUCACAACUCUCGUUGAGAGCAAGUGGCCUUAACCAAUCUGGCCAACAGGCGAUCAUAAGGUUCUUCCUGGAAAGUUUCAGUAGUUUCUUCCAACAGGUCAGAGGGCAUUACAGGAUCUAAACCAGGUGGUGUGUCACAAUUCAAGCAAGUCUCAGACAAACAGGCCAGACAUAUGCAUACAUGGCAGCAAGCAGGCAGGUGCACGCACACGUGCUCAUAGCUUUGGACAGCUCCCUCUUUGCUCCUCUGAAUAUCAACCAUCAUCUUCCUGGCCAACGUUGUCUGAAGGGGUCUUGCUGACAUGCUCACAGCAGGACUGUACAGAUAACACGUGAGUUACAGCAGGCAGGAUAGUCCUCCAUGACGUGGAAGGUCCCAGGGCUAAGAGGUCCUAGACCUCUUGAGAGUCACCAAAAAAUCUAAAGGUGCCACGCAGCACAGAAACACCGAGCAGGUUCUUGUGUUACUGUUCUCCCAUUACAAGUCUCUCAUUUUGCUUAUUAUAGAAAAAUCAGAAAACAUACUCAACCAAAAGUAUCAGUGACCCAUAAUGCAAUCUGGCACGGAUGGCCAAUUUCAAAUAUGAAGAUACAUACAGACAAAGACCUACCCACACACACGUAUGUGUGCGUGCAUAGAUUUUUUACAAACAUGGGAAUUUUAUUUUUCCUCUAAAUGUACAGUCAGUAGCUUUCACUAGCGAUGCAUAUAUAUGAAGGUUGGCCCUGAUGAAUAAAUUGGUUAAAUAUAACCAAUCUGCUACUGUGUGGCUCUUAGAGUGUUUCUAACUUCUUGCUCUUACCAAUAAUCUUGCCAGAGAACAUCCUGGCAAAGUUCUUUAAUCAUUUCCUCCAGAAAAAUUCCUGGAAAUGAUGUUGCCAGGCGAGAGGUCAUGCAUAUUCAAGUUUUCUUUCUCUCCUUAUUUCCUUUGCCUUAAGGAAUAUGUGUUCAUCUUAACACUUGCCACUUGCUUCCUGGUGCAGUGAGAAGGUAGAUGCCACCAGAAGGCCAUGUCCACCAUGCCCAGCACCACUUCUACCACCUUCCAACACCUGUGGCCAUAAGCCCUGACCUCCCUUCUCCUGCAGCAGAAGUGGCCUCCCUCGGAACACUGGGUCCCAGCUCCCCUACCCUAUUCACGGACACUGCUCUAGCAAGUCUUUUUUCUCUUCCCCGCACCAGCCAUCGCCCCUCUCUUCCGAAGAGCAUUCUCAUCGGCAUACGAACAACUCUUCUUUUUUCCAUCUUUAAAAACAAAUAAACUGAAACCUUCAAAUGGCCCGGUUUCCAUGUCGAAACCUAAUAGAUCCAGUUCUCUUCUGUCUUUGCAGUGAACUCCUGAAAGGGCUGUCUUCAUUCAACAUUUCCAAUUCCUCUCAUUCUUUCUCAGACCCACCCCAGUCAGGGUUUGAUCCGCACACUCCACCAAAACUCUUUUUGCCAAGGUCACCCAUGACCCCCAAGUUGCUACAGCCCAUGGAUAACUUUUCAGGGCAUCUUACGUAACCAAUCAGCAGCCGUUGAAGCGCAGCAUGAACCCUUCUUCCUUGAGAGAGUUUUGGGUUUUGUUGUCGUUGUCGUCUUCAUGAGGCUGCAGAACCCCAGGAGCGUGAGCUGUCUUCUCCGUCAUGUCCUCCUUCUCCUCAUCCAUCCCUCCCUGCCUCCUUAGCUCUGUGACCUUAAUUCUAGAGUGUUCCGGGAGGCAGGGUUUGGAUACCUCUUUGGUAUCUGAAGGUGGUCCUCUGGGGACUUCCUUCAGUCUCUUGGCCACAGAUACGCGAACAAACUCCCAAAUGUAACUCUCCUGCCCAGGAUGCUUUUCCCACCUCCUCCCCACCACCGACUCCAGGUCCAGCUGCUCCUCAACACUGCAAAUAUGCUGGGUCCACACCCGAAUCCUGGUCUUUCCAUUCCCAUCCUGCUCCUCCUACAGAUGUCCUGUCUCAGGCAACGGCAACUCCAACGAGGCCAUGGACCUUGGACCUUCCUUGACCUUUCUUUGUCCCCCUCACUAUCCAUCCAAACCUUCAGCAAAGCCUGUGGGUCAGGAAGUCUAGAUUGGUUAUAUGUAACCAACUUAUGAAUCAGAGCCAACACUUUCAGAACAGAUUCAGUGCCAGGCCACUGUCACCGUCACUCUGGUCUAAACCACCAGAACAUCUCGACUGAACUGCUGAAGCAGCCUCAUGCCUGGUCUUGCUUCCACCUUGUUCCCCUAGAAAUCAUUCCCCACACAGCCCGAGGGGUGCUAGAGAAGACGGUGCCAGGUAAUCUAACACUGCUGCUCAAGAUCAGACAAUGGCUUUCCACCACACUCGGAGCAUAAGCAAAGUUCUUGUAAGGACCUUACACUCCCACACCAUCAAUCCGUCCCCUUGCCUUUCUAACCUCAGAUGCUGUUACCUCUCCCUCCCCCUGCUUGGUCCUCACCCCACGGCCUUUGGAUAUGUUAUUGGUUCUGCAAGGGCAUGUUUCUCCAGAGACACCUGAAAGGCUUACCCCCCAGCUCCUCUCCGUCUCUGCUUAAAUAUCACCUUUCUCUAAGCCUCUCUUGACACAUAUUUAAAAAUCACAAUCCCCUCACCCCAGUACUCAUUUCUUUUUUUUUUUUUCUUCUUUUUAGGGCCAGACCCGAGGCAUAUGGAGGCUCCCAGGCUAGGGGUCGAAUGGGAGCUGCAGUUGCAGGGCCUACACCACAGCCACAGCAAUGCUAGAUCUGAGCCGAGUCUGUGACCUACACCAUAGCUCACGGCAACGCCGGAUCCCUAACUCACUGAACGAGGCCAGCGAGGGAAUUGGCGUCCUCAUGGAUACUAGUCAGAUUUAUUUCUGCUGAGUCACGACGGGAACUCUAAUCACCCCAGUACUCAUAAUAGGCUUCUCCACUACAUAUUUUAUUUAUUUCCUUUGUUGCUUAGAUCCCCUCAUUAGAAUCUAAGGACCAAGAGAUUUGCUGUUGUUAUCUCCUAUACCUGCAACAACCCUCAGCAUGUGACAGGUGCUCAAUACAUGUCUGUUGAGUGAAUAAACCUUGCAAAAAAUUAGAAAAGUGAAAGGAGAGAAUUAGGAAGAAAAUCACAUAUAUAUUUAAAAAGGACAUUUAAUUUGAUUAUAGCUGAUAAUACUGUAGUAUAUUCUUAAAAUUUGCUAAGAGAGUAGAUCUUAAAUGUUCUCACCCCCCAAAAGAAAUGGUGAUUAUAUAACAUGAUGGAGGUGGUAGCUAAGUUUAUGAUGGUAAUCAUUUUCCAAUAUAUAAUUACCUAAUCAACACACUGUACACCUUAAACUUAUACAAUGUUAUAUAUAUCAGUCAAUUAUAUCUCAAUAGCGCUGGAAAAAGCAUUCACCCAUGACCAUAUUUCCAGAGAACCAUCAUUUACAUGCAUAUAAAUUCACAUUCUUUUUCCUGUGUUCCUGUGUAUUUUUGGUGAGGUCACUCUAUGCGUAGUUUCAAAAUCUGCUUUAAAAUUUCUGAUGUGCCUAUAAUUUGGACUUUGAAUACAUGCUCCCAGAUAACCUUUUUGAAAUAUCAAGUUAUAUACCUUGCUGGGAGUUUACGAGGUUCCAUUUUUGCAUCUUCUUCCUCCCAACCUGAUCUGAUCACAUUUGUCUUGUAUAUGGGUCUAACCAGUGUAAUAAGUUUGACUCUGAUCUUGAAAUUUUCCUUAGCUGACAUGACUUUCAGUGGCUUCCCGGGUUCCCCUGUACCUUCAUCACUUCUUGUUGUACACACACCUCUUCUUCCCGAAUACAUGCAAGGAUUCAAGAGAAUGACAAGUCGAUACUCUUGAUGGAGAAAAGUUCCAGAAUUUGAGAAUCUAGCUGGUUAAAACUCAGAAAGCCGGAUACUUUGCAUUUGGAUGUAUGACUUAGCCAAGUGUGGACACAGUCCUUACUCACUAGUGAUGCUUUGACAACUCUCAUCCAUUAUUGCUUCCCUGUAGAGUCAACCAGCUGUGCACGGGGUCACUCCAUGCCGGGGACACAGACUACAAUGAGAAGGCCCCCCUUGGAGUUGUGCGGUGUGAUAGCCCCCCCCAAAGGUCUGACUAGGUGACACUCAAUGCUUUUUAGGAAUAAUUUAUGAGAUUUUUUUUUUUUUUUUCCUCUGACUCUGCCCUUCCUCUUCACCACCUGGGGAGAAUUUGUCUACGAAAAGCAGACUUUUCUAUGGUGAUAGUCACAUUUUAAAGUUAUCCUUUUCAACCCUUUCUCUGGUGGACAAAGAAAGGGAUGCAAGCCACUUGGUGUAGUAAAAUGAUAGACACGUCUGC